GAAAUGCGAUAAGUAAUGUGAAUUGCAGAAUUCAGUGAAUCAUCGAAUCUUUGAACGCACAUUGCGCCCGCCAGUAUUCUGGCGUGCAUGCCUGUUCGAGCGUCAUUUCAACCAUCAAGCCCCGCGCUUGUGUUGGGGACCUGCGGCUGCCGCAGGCCCUGAAAACCAGUGGCGGGCUCGCUGUCACACCGGGCGUAGUAGAUUUUAUCUCGCUCAGGGCGUGCUGCGGGUUCCGGCCGUUAAAAAGCCUUUUUUACCCAAGGUUGACCUCGGAUCAGGUAGGAAGACCCGCUGAACUUAAGC
rnacentral:misc_RNA from 1 species